rnacentral:piRNA from 1 species
UGGGAUUUGGGAUGCACAGGACAG